UGAGGAAUAUUGGUCAAUGGGCGGAAGCCUGAACCAGCCAAGUCGCGUGAGGGAAGACGGCCCUAAGGGUUGUAAACCUCUUUUGCCGGGGAGCAAAAGCGCCGUGCGCGGUGCUAUGAGAGUACCCGGAGAAAAAAGCAUCGGCUAACUCCGUGCCAGCAGCCGCGGUAAUACGGAGGAUGCGAGCGUUAUCCGGAUUUAUUGGGUUUAAAGGGUGCGUAGGCGGACAGUUAAGUCAGCGGUCAAAACGGGCGGCUCAACCGCCUGCCGCCGUUGAAACUGGCAGUCUAGAGUGGGCGAGAAGUACGCGGAAU
rnacentral:rRNA from 1 species